UACGUAGGUGGCAAGCGUUGUCCGGAUUUACUGGGCGUAAAGGGCGUGCAGGCGGUCUGUUAAGUCUAGGGUGAAAGCUCCCGGCUCAACUGGGAGAGGUCCUUGGAUACUGGCGGACUUGAGGGAGGCAGAGGAGUAUGGAAUUCCCGGUGUAGUGGUGAUAUGCGUAGAUAUCGGGAGGAACACCCAGGGGGAAACCAGCCGACUGGGCAUCUACUGACGCUGAGGUGCGAGAGCGUGGGGAGCGAACCGG
rnacentral:rRNA from 1 species